AUUGAACGCUGGCGGCAUGCUUUACACAUGCAAGUCGAACGGUAACAGGGAGCUUGCUCCGCUGACGAGUGGCGAACGGGUGAGUAAUGCGUCGGAACGUGCCAAGUAGUGGGGAUAACGCAGCGAAAGUUGUGCUAAUACCGCAUACGUACUGAGGUAGGAAGUGGGGGACCUUCGGGCCUCACGCUAUUCGAGCGGCCGACGUCUGAUUAGCUAGUAGGUGAGGUAAAGGCUCACCUAGGCGACGAUCAGUAGCGGGUCUGAGAGGAUGAUCCGCCAGACUGGGACUGAGACACGGCCCAGACUCCUACGGGAGGCAGCAGUGGGGAAUUUUGGACAAUGGGCGAAAGCCUGAUCCAGCCAUGCCGCGUGUCUGAGGAAGGCCUUCGGGUUGUAAAGGACUUUUGUCGGGGAGGAAAUCCCCAGCGCUAAUACCGCUGGGGGAUGACAGUACCUGAAGAAUAAGCACCGGCUAACUACGUGCCAGCCGCCGCGGUAAGAC
rnacentral:rRNA from 1 species